rnacentral:tRNA from 2 species
AAGUCUUAUAUUUUAUAUAAAAAUAUUAAAUUGCAAAUUUAAAGAAGAGCUUCUAAGACUUA